rnacentral:rRNA from 1 species
AUUGAACGCUGGCGGCGUGCUUUACACAUGCAAGUCGAACGGCAGCAUGACUAGCAAUAGUUGAUGGCGAGUGGCGGACGGGUGAGUAAUACAUCGAGACAUGCCUUAUAGUUGGGGAUAACUCAUCGAAAGAUGAGCUAAUACCGAGUAAUCUCUGAGGAGGAAAGCUGGGGACCUGCGAGGGCCUGGCGCUAUUAGAGUGGUCGAUGGUCGAUUAGUUAGUUGGUGGGGUAAAGGCCUACCAAGGCAAUGAUCGAUAGCUGUUCUGAGAGGAAGAGCAGCCACACUGGGACUGCGACACGGCCUAGACUCCUACGGGAGGCAGCAGUGGGGAAUUUUGGACAAUGGGGGCAACCCUGAUCCAGCAACGCCGCGUGAAUGAAGAAGGCCCUAGGGUUGUAAAGUUCUUUUGUCUGGGAGCAAAAUGCGUGAGUUAAUAGCUUAUGUAGAUGAGAGUACCAGAAGAAUAAGCACCGGCUAACUACGUGCCAGCCGCCGCAGUAAGAC